rnacentral:rRNA from 1 species
CGUAGGGCGCGAGCGUUGUCCGGAUUUAUUGGGCGUAAAGAGCUCGUAGGCGGCUUGUCGCGUCGACUGUGAAAACCCGUGGCUCAACCAUGUGGUCUGCAGUCGAUACGGGCAGGCUAGAAUUCGGUAGGGGAGACUGGAAUUCCUGGUGUAGCGGUGAAAUGCGCAGAUAUCAGGAGGAACACCGGUGGCGAAGGCGGGUCUCUGGGCCGAUAUUGACGCUGAGGAGCGAAAGCGUGGGGAGCGAACAGGAUUAGAUACCCUGGUAGUCCACGCUGUAAACGUUGGGCGCUAGGUGUGGGGGGCCUCUCCGGUUCUCUGUGCCGCAGCUAACGCAUUAAGCGCCCCGCCUGGGGAGUACGGCCGCAAGGCUA